rnacentral:lncRNA from 1 species
AGUUGUAAUGGUAGUUGUAUAAUUCUGGAUAUUAACAAAAUUGAUGAAAUUAUAUACUCAAACUAGGUGAAUUUUAAAGUAUAUUAAAAGUGAGUAUUAUUAGCGGAAUGGUACAUCAGAGACUUUGGGGAAUGUCUCUUUCGUUUGUAAGGAAGUUUUGGAUUCCUUAUUUCACAUUGCUAAUAAAGUGGGUUGUCAGAUUUGAGUGGGGCUUUGUUGCCAUUAUAAAGGAAACAUUUGUCAUUUCUAUUUUAUCUCCUUCAGUAACUCUGAGCCUUCACACCAUAAUAGUGAGGGAGCAGAUAACUCCAGGGAUGACUCAAGCAGCCACAGUGGGUCUGAAAGCAGCUCUGGGUCCGACUCCGAGAGUGAAAGCAGCUCCAGUGACAGUGAGGCAAAUGAGCCAUCCCAGAGCGCAUCCCCUGAGGUGAGAGGGAGGAGCUGCUUCCAUACACAAGCUCUCGUGAUGGCCACUCCAGCAUCACCAUGCAUGUGAUCAAAGGCACACUGUGUAUGAUGUCAAAGACCACAAAACAUGGGUCUUAUAGAAAACCUAAGCUUUUUGCUCUCCUUAUUAUUUUAAAAACUUAUUUUGGGGGUUGGGAAUUUAGCUCAGUGAUAGAGUGCUUGCCUAGCAAGCACAAGGCCCUGGCUUUGGUCCUCAGCUCCGGG